CAGUUUAUUAAAGAUACUCAGCUCUUUUAGGAUUUAGAAGGUUUUAGAAAAGAGAUACGAACAUUAAAUCAACAGUCAACCAAUCUUGAUAUAAGAUUAAAUAGAUCUCUAGAAAGCAACGAGAAACUUCGAAAUGCAUUAAAAUGUAGCCAAAUAGAAGAGAAGGAAUUAAGAAAUCAAAUUAGAAAACUGCAAGAAGAUAAGAAGUUAGCCAUAAAAAAUUUGGAAAAACAGCGAUCGGAGUUAGUGCAAGCAUUUAAGAAACAAACACUACUCGUAGAUAAUUUGAAGAAACAAAACAUACACUUGAUGGCAAAUGGACAAAUCAGCUUAACGAAAGAAGACUUUGCGAAGUUAUUAGAGUGGAAACCUCAGAAUGUCUCUGAUGUAUCGUAAUAGUGUUUACAGUAAUAGCGUUUAUAGUAAUUCCCAGUAAAUUUACAUUCCCGGAACUUUUUGCUUCUGUCUGAUCAUUUAAACAGCUCCCUUGAGGAGAGCAUCUUUCUCAGGGAUAUUUUGUAAAACAUUAAUUUAUUAAAUGACUGUAACUUAUAUACUGUAUAAAAGAUGAAAUUAAUCCCA